rnacentral:tRNA from 1 species
GCCAACGUAGCUCAGGGGUUAGAGCGGGCGUUUCAUAAGCGCUAGGCCGGUGGUCCGAGUCCACCCGUUGGCACCA